rnacentral:rRNA from 1 species
AGUGAACGCUGGCGGCGUGCUUAACACAUGCAAGUCGAACGAGAACGGGUUAUAGCUUGCUAUAAUUGUCAGCUAAGUGGCGCACGGGUGAGUAAUGUAUAGGUAAUAUGCCUCUUACUAAGGGAUAACAAAUGGAAACGUUUGCUAAUACCUUAUACUCCUUAUUAACAGAAGUUAAUAAGGUAAAGAUUUAUUGGUAAGAGAUUAGCCUGUAUUGUAUCAGUUAGUUGGUGGGGUAAUGGCUUACCAAGACUAUGACACAUAACUGGUUUGAGAGGAUGAUCAGUCACACUGGAACUGAGACACGGUCCAGACUCCUACGGGAGGCAGCAGUGGGGAAUAUUGCACAAUGGACGGAAGUCUGAUGCAGCAACGCCGCGUGGAGGAUGACACAUUUCGGUGCGUAAACUCCUUUUAUAUGAGAAGAUAAUGACGGUAUUAUAUGAAUAAGCACCGGCUAACUCCGUGCCAGCAGCCGCCGUAA